UGCUUCUUUCAACACUUUUGGGAUAUGUUAGUGCUGAUAUCUUAUUUCUUUUCAAGCAAAUCUCUGAAAGUAACCUCAACUUAGAAAGAUUGAAUUUUGCUAUCCUUUCUUUAAUUCCAAAAAAAAGAUGCAAUGAAAGCUCUAUCAGACUUCAGGCCAAUUAGCCUCAUCCACAGUUGUAUGAAGAUUUUCACUAGGAUCUUAGCUAAUAGGUUGCAGUCUUUCAUGCAUCAGCUUAUUGAUCGAG
rnacentral:lncRNA from 1 species